rnacentral:rRNA from 1 species
AUUGAACGCUGGCGGCAUGCUUUACACAUGCAAGUCGAACGGUAACAGGGAGCUUGCUCCGCUGACGAGUGGCGAACGGGUGAGUAAUGCAUCGGAACAUGCCCAGUCAUGGGGGAUAACUACGCGAAAGCGUAGCUAAUACCGCAUACGCCCUGAGGGGGAAAGUGGGGGGUCUUAGGACCUCACGUGAUUGGAGUGGCCGAUGUCAGAUUAGCUAGUUGGUGAGGUAAAGGCUCACCAAGGCGACGAUCUGUAGCGGGUCUGAGAGGAUGAUCCGCCACACUGGGACUGAGACCACGGCCCAGACUCCUACGGGAGGCAGCAGUGGGGAAUUUUGGACAAUCGGGCGCAAGCCUGAUCCAGCCAUGCCGCGUGAGUGAA